rnacentral:rRNA from 1 species
UGCCAGCCGCCGCGGUAAUACGGAGGGGGCAAGCGUUAUUCGGAAUUACUGGGCGUAAAGGGCGUGUAGGCGGCCUGACAAGUCAAAGGUGAAAGCCCUCGGCUCAACCGAGGAACUGCCUUUGAAACUGUUGGGCUAGAGACUGGGAGGGGGUAGUGGAAUUCCUGGUGUAGCGGUGAAAUGCGUAGAUAUCAGGAGGAACACCGGUGGCGAAGGCGGCUACCUGGACCAUCACUGACGCUGAGGUGCGAAAGCCAGGGUAGCAAACGGGAUUAGAUA